UGAUCAGCAUGCCGCGUGAGUGAGAUGCCUUAGGGUUUGAAAGCUGUUUUUAUAUUGAGAAGCCCUCUACCUGUAAGGAAUGACCGGACUAUUCCAAGCCAGAACGCCUAGCUCCACGCCGGGAGCCGCGGUAAUACGGAGGGUCCGGGGGUAAUCCGGAUUCAUUGGGUUGAAAGGGUCCGUAAGGGGGACGUUAAGUUCAAGCUGAAGUCCUAUCCCUCAACUAUACAUCUGCAUUUCAUUCUGAUUUUCUUGACUUCAGAUCAGGUGGGUGGAAUGUGUAUUGUAGCGGAGAAAUGCAUAGAUAUGACAUAGAACACCGAUUGCGAAGGGAACUCACUACCCUGAUACUGACGCUGCAGGACGAAAGCGAGGCGAGGGAACACGAUUAGAUACCCUGGUAUUCCACGCCGUAAACGAUGAUAACUCUACUGCUAACGAUAUACUGUUAUUGCCUAACCGACAGCGAUAAAUAGUCCACCUGGGGAGUACGGUCGCAAGAUUGAAACUCAAAGGAAUUGACGG
rnacentral:rRNA from 1 species